rnacentral:tRNA from 1 species
GCCUUCGUGGUGUAAUGGUCAGCACAUUCGACGCAUAUUCUAGAAGUCUGAGGUUCGAGUCCCGGCGAGGGCA